UACAUAACCGAGGGGCUGAGUUUUCGUAUUGCGGAAGGGAAAACGUGGGGAUGUCACCGGUCUGCGAUAUGAGACUGUCGCCUUCGCGUUCGUGUGAUAACGCGCGCACACACACACACACAUUGAUAGAAUACUUCAUAAUACUCUCUUUACAUACUUUCCACCCUCGGCCACGUGUGCAAUGCGUUCUCAUCGGAGCUCAUUGACCUCGUACGCGCAAGUCCGAGUAUAAAUGAUCGCGCCGUAUGCUCGUAUUUAAUAUUUAUUACCAUAAACAUUACAUUGAUAUGCACUUUCUUUGAAAAUAUGAAUAAUUCGAUCGAGGAAUCGUCGAAAAUGUUACAAAAAUCAGAAUCUAAAAGAAGGUCUGCGAGAUCAAUUCUGUUGAGAUUGUUUCCCAAGUUUUAUCGUACUCUUUUUUUCACGAGCUUUUCGUGGGAAUGUUGACAGCUCAGUCGUACACCACCGGCUCACGCAUCGGUCGCUAAGCGCUGCGCACUUUUUCCGAGUUUCCGGCGAUAAUUUCAAUAACUAAACACGAAACACGGGAAGUCUAACAAAUUCGCCAUUUCUCAUUCGACCGCCCUCUGCGCGUGAAUGCGAGACGCUAGACCGUUUCAAAGUGGUUUAGUCGUGGACGGCUCGGCUCUCAUGAGGUUCCACAAGACAAAAAAGGAGGUUCGCAAGGCCGGUAUUGAUCGUCUCUGCUGGUUGGGGAUGUGUGUAUGUAUCCUGGGUCGCGUGCGCGAUCCUGGGAACUCCGGGCACGGUUUAUACCCACGGGAACCGAUCUCCAAGCCAACCCUUGGCAAUAUAACGACAAGGACGACGAAGAGGAACGACUAACACCAAGACCCCCCUCUGACAUCUAGUGUUCUAUCCACCACCAUAGCUACACUACUGCUAACUCUCCCUUUUUCCUUGCCCUCUCUCGGUACACUCGUGCUUACCACCCUGCCCACUCUUGCAUCCACUUCGCAUUCACAAGAGCCUCAAGAUGCGAAAUUUUGGGACGGCUCGAGAACCCUCUUCUGUCUCCAACUGUCAGUCUCUCUCUCUCUCUCUCUCUCCCUUCCCUUUUCUCUGCUGUCCACGUCUGUCUCUCUGUUUGUUUGCUCUUUCUAUUUGUCCAUCUGUCUAUACUCUCUACGCAAAAAAAUCUGACUUUUAGUAUCGCCGAGAAAAAUCGUCCCUUGAUUUAACAAAAUCAUUGACACUAAUUCGUCAUCUACGAUGAGUGCAUGUGUUCUCCGGGAACAACUGAAAAUACUAUUGUAUGCUAAAUCUUUUCGUUCCUCUUUUCUCUACGAGAUUAACCGUUGAUUCGAUAUCGCGGACAAAAGUGGUUCUUUUGAUUCAAUAUAAUCGUAAAAAAAAUUCGGUUCCCACGGUUAUUUAUCGUAGGAAACUAAUAAUUGGGAUCGGUGAUGUCUUUAGUCAGAUUUAGAGUGGUUGAAAGUUCUGAAAAUAAAAGAUAAAAAUAAUACUUCGAUUAUGUUACUCGAUCGUUUAGGAGCCAGUGGAUUUAACGAUAUUUCUGUUGAAAAAAAUUUAAAUGGUUAUGCACCGUUUGUGUUCAUCAUAAAAUAUUAAUAUGUUCGUUUAAUUAUCAUGCUCGAUACCGAAAUAAAUAAAAAGUAUCCUUGCAAUAAUCA
rnacentral:lncRNA from 1 species